GUUCUUUGUUGCUUGAAGCGGUGUGGCAUCUUCACGUACAAGGCAUUGUGAGCCUGCAAGAGCUGCUGGAAAGCCAUCCCGACAUGCAUGCUGUGGGAUCGUGGCUCUUCAGGAAUCUGUGCUGCCUUUGUGAACAGAUGGAAGCAUCCUGCCAGCAUGCUGACGUCGCCAGGGCCAUGCUUUCUGAUUUUGUUCAAAUGUUUGUUUUGAGGGGAUUUCAGAAAAACUCAGAUCUGAGAAGAACUGUGGAGCCUGAAAAAAUGCCGCAGGUCACGGUUGAUGUACUGCAGAGAAUGCUGAUUUUUGCACUUGACGCUUUGGCUGCUGGAGUACAGGAGGAGUCCUCCACUCACAAGAUCGUGAGGUGCUGCAUCUGAUGCUGUUCAGAUGCAGAGAGAGUGGAGCUUUGCGCGGACACACCCUCUGCUCACCUCACUGUACCGCAGGCUCUUUGUGAUGCUGAGUGCAGAGGAGUUGGUUGGCCAUUUGCAAGAAGUUCUGGAAACGCAGGAGGUUCACUGGCAGAGAGUGCUCUCCUUUGUGUCUGCCCUGGUUGUCUGCUUUCCAGAAGCGCAGCAGCUGCUUGAAGACUGGGUGGCGCGUUUGAUGGCCCAGGCA
rnacentral:lncRNA from 1 species